AUGUUGCAAGCCGCACAUGCGUCCGGCCUCUAGGAGUCGUCCACACGAGCCCACGAAUCUCGAUCAGAAGUCCUGCUUCAGGAAAUCAGCACAGUAUGCUAGUACUGCGCUGAUCCUUCUUUGAUGGUUGAUCAGGUGCCUCCUUCUUCUUGAUUUAGACUCUUUCAAAGAUAGAAAGUAGAAAGAGGAGUUUCAGAUCUGAGACACUCUCAGGAAACUCAAGAUGGAAGGAGGAAAGAUAUGAAAAUAAAAACCCUAGAAGAAGACCCUCUUCUUCUUCACAUUUUUCUCUCUAGACACCCAAACUUGCAUCUUUUAUAUCUCCACGACCCAAAGGUAUUUCUCUAUGAUUUUUGGAUGGCAGAAAGGUCUCUUAAAUAUCUAUCUCCUCUUAAAAUUUCACGAAUAAACUCAUCUUAUAUAGAGAGAUAUGAUAGACUCCUUGUCUAGGUCAAACACCUAGUCAAGGCUUAUCCAAACAUGGCAAGUUAAGGGACGCCCAACUCUUGAGCACCUCCUCCAUAUUUUCAUGCAUGGAUU
rnacentral:lncRNA from 1 species